GGGGUAAAAUCCGUAGAUAUCACCAAGAAUACCCAUUGCGAAGGCGAUCUGCUGGAACUCAACUGACGCUAAGGCGCGAAAGCGUGGGGAGCAAACAGGAUUAGAUACCCUGGUAGUCCACGCCCUAAACGAUGUACACUAGUUGUUGGGAUGCUAGUCAUCUCAGUAAUGCAGCUAACGCAUUAAGUGUACCGCCUGGGGAGUACGGUCGCAAGAUUAAAACUCAAAGGAAUAGACGGGGACCCGCACAAGCGGUGGAGCAUGUGGUUUAAUUCGAAGAUACGCGAAGAACCUUACCUGGGCUUGAUAUCCUAAGAACCUUAUAGAGAUAUGAGGGUGCUAGCUUGCUAGAACUUAGAGACAGGUGCUGCACGGCUGUCGUCAGCUCGUGUCGUGAGAUGUUGGGUUAAGUCCCGCAACGAGCGCAACCCACGUAUUUAGUUGCUAACGGUUCGGCCGAGCACUCUAAAUAGACUGCCUUCGUAAGGAGGAGGAAGGUGUGGACGACGUCAAGUCAUCAUGGCCCUUAUGCCCAGGGCGACACACGUGCUACAAUGGCAUAUACAAUGAGACGCAAUACCGCGAGGUGGAGCAAAUCUAUAAAAUAUGUCCCAGUUCGGAUUGUUCUCUGCAACUCGAGAGCAUGAAGCCGGAAUCGCUAGUAAUCGUAGAUCAGCCAUGCUACGGUGAAUACGUUCCCGGGUCUUGUACUCACCGCCCGUCACACCAUGGGAGUUGAUUUCACUCGAAGCCGGAAUACUAAACUAGUUACCGUCCACAGUGGAAUCAGCGACUGGGGUGAAGUCGUAACAAGGUAACCGUAGGAGAACCUGCGGUUGGAUCACCUCCUUUCUA
rnacentral:rRNA from 1 species